UACGUAGGGUGCGAGCGUUAAUCGGAAUUACUGGGCGUAAAGCGUGCGCAGGCGGUCUGUUAAGACCGAUGUGAAAUCCCCGGGCUCAACCUGGGAACUGCAUCUGUGACUGCAUUGCUGGAGUACGGCAGAGGGGGAUGGAAUUCCGCGUGUAGCAGUGAAAUGCGUAGAGAUCGGGAGGAACACCAGAGGCGAAGGCGGCGACCUGGACAAGUACUGACACUCAACUACGAAAGCGUGGGGAGCAAACAGG
rnacentral:rRNA from 1 species